AGUGAACGCUGGGGGUAGGCCUUACACAUGCAAGUCGACCGGCACCACAGUAAGAGCUUGUUCUUACUGGUUGCGAGUGGCGGACGGGUGAGGUAUACAUCUGAAUCUACUGUUUCGGGGGGGAUAACGUAUGGAAACUUACUCUAAUACCGCAUACGAGCUACAGGUGUAAGCAGAGGAUCUUCGGAUCUUGUGCGAUUUAAUGAGCCGAGGUCUUAUUAGCUAGUUGGCGGGCUAAAGACCCACCAAGUCGACGAUCCCUAGCUGGCCUGAGAGGGUGAUGAGCGGCCCUGGAACUGUGACACGGUCGACACGCAUCAGGGAGGCAGAGGUGGGAAAUAUUGGACACUGGGCGCAAGCCUGAUCCACCCAUACCGCGUAGGUGAAGAACGCCUUUGCGUUGUAAAGCCCUUUUGUUGGGAAAGAAAAGCAGCAGGUUAAUACCCAGCUGUUCUGACGGUACCCAAAGAAUGAGCACCGGCUAACUCCGUG
rnacentral:rRNA from 1 species